rnacentral:rRNA from 1 species
CUAAGAAUCUUGCGCAAUGGGCGAAAGCCUGGCGCAGCAAUUCCGCGUGGGGGACGAAGGCCCUCGGGUCGUAAACCCCUUUUGCGAGGGAAGAAGUUCUGACGGUACCUCGCGAAUAAGCCACGGCUAACUACGUGCCAGCAGCCGCGGUAAUACGUAGGUGGCGAGCGUUGUCCGGAUUCAUUGGGCGUAAAGAGCCCGCAGGCGGCCUGUUAAGUUUCAGGUGAAAUCUCCCGGCUCAACUGGGAGGGGUCCUGGAAAACUGGCAGGCUUGAGGCAGGGAGAGGGCUGUGGAAUUCCCGGUGUAGUGGUGAAAUGCGUAGAUAUCGGGAGGAACACCAGUGGCGAAGGCGGCAUCCUGGCCCUGUCCUGACGCUCAGGGGCGAAAGCGUGGGGAGCAAACC